GGGAAAGGAAAAAAGGAGAGAGGGGAGAGGGCUGAGCGAUUUCCGGUGGGGGGAGGGGACACCGGACCUUCGCCGGCGCCGGCGCCGGCGCCGGCCACAGUACACGGUGGCCGGAAAGGGUAAAAUUUCAAUUUUUUUUAUUUCGCUUGUUUAUCUUAUUAUUUUUGUUCUAUUCUUAUAUGUAUGUGCGAUAAAAUGGGUUUUAAAACGAAAAUGAAAUAAUGAAAUAAAGAAAUAACCUUUAGUUUUUCUUAGCUUCUGAUUCUUUGAUCUUGGUAUCCGAUUUGCUUGUAUGCUAUGCUUGAGUUUGAAUACUGAUUAGACUGCUGUUAUGAGAUUGAAUCUUUUCUUAUUUUGUGUUUUUUGAAACUGCCAACGAAAAAAAAGACCCCUUUUACACUUGUUUUCAUGACUUUUAUAGCCUUUACACUUUCAUUUUCUAUUAGUUUCUAUCUCUUCAUUGCUGCUUGCAGGGUAUGGAGGUGCCAGGCAUGCGGGGAUGGUGUUGGCAGAAGCAUGGGCGAUGGCUAGGUAUGGGGGUGACCAGGGAUGGUGCUGGUGUUAGAGGAGUGGAGAGACUGAAGAGGGGAGAGCGACUGAAAACUUUGGUGGCUAGGGUUUGCUGCUGAAAUUUUUUUAGAUAGUGGGCUUGGGUUGUUAGGAUUUGUAAAUUGGGUUUGGGUAUUGUAUUAUUGGGUUGAUCUGGUUUGUAAAAUGGAUAUUUAUUUGGGUUAUUUAGAUUUUAUUUUCUGCUUGUUUACUUAGGACAAAAAUUGGCCAUUACAGACCCCUAGGGUAUUGAUCAAGAGGCAAUGGUCGUAAAGUCAUUUGAUCACUGAGCCGCAUGAUAAAUGCAACGCCAAAUAGAAAGAAUCUAUCCCUUGCUCUGGACAAUAGAGGAAUCUCAAUAGAUGGAUUUCAAUAAAAAAGUAGGCAAAGGAUGUUGUCCAGCAUCAGGUUUCAAUUGGAUAAUCUUUAAAUCUAGCUACUAAUUAAUUCAAGACGGACAAAAUGUCCUUAUAAUUAGGUGAGAAAAACUGAAAAAGCAUCAUAGCUGCAACAACACAUGCAGAGUAAAAAAAAAAAAGUUGAAUAAAAGUAGCUCAUUAAACCUGAUUUUGUGGUUGUUAGCCGUUGUUAACACAAGAGUGUUGGAAAAUACAGACGCCCUG
rnacentral:lncRNA from 1 species